rnacentral:rRNA from 1 species
UACGAAGGGGGCUAGCGUUGCUCGGAAUCACUGGGCGUAAAGGGUGCGUAGGCGGGUCUUUAAGUCAGGGGUGAAAUCCUGGAGCUCAACUCCAGAACUGCCUUUGAUACUGAGGAUCUUGAGUCCGGGAGAGGUGAGUGGAACUGCGAGUGUAGAGGUGAAAUUCGUAGAUAUUCGCAAGAACACCAGUGGCGAAGGCGGCUCACUGGCCCGGUACUGACGCUGACGACGCGAAAGCGUGGGGAGCGAACAGG